AGAGCUGCCGCCAUUUUGCGGGAAGAGGAGCUGCUCUACCUGCAGUGCUGCUUUUCUUGCCUAGACUCUAGGAAAUAUCCGAGCUCCACUCCCCACAACAUACUCAAAGGAACGGAGAGAACUGGGACCCCCCUGCGGGGACCCGGAACUGAUCUGACAGGAUGGCAUCUGAUGACUUUGAUAUAGUGAUUGAGGCCAUGCUGGAAGCUCCCUAUAAAAAAGAAGAGGAUGAGCAACAAAGGAAAGAAGUUAAAAAGGAUUAUCCUAGCAAUACCACCAGCAGCACCAGCAACAGUGGCAAUGGGACCAGUGGAAGCAACACCAUCGGGGAGACAAGCAAUCGUAGUCGAGAUCGGGAUCGGUAUAGACGGAGAAAUAGUCGGAGCCGAAGUCGAGGUCGGCAGCGUCGUCACCGUAGCCGUAGCUGGGAUCGUCGACAUAGUAGUGAGUCGCGAAGUCGAGACCGUCGUCGUGAGGAUUGUGUGCGUUACAGGAGUCCUCCACUUGCCUCUGGGUAUCACUUUUUGCUAAUAGAUUCACCUUUGUAUAAUAAUCUGGAUAAAACAACAAAUGCACUAUGAAGCCUGCUUGAGGGUGCUUCUUAUAACACAUUGUGAUUGGCGGGAUACUCAGGCACAGAAAGGGUUGGUAUUCAAAAUUUACUGGCGUGGUGGCUCAUGCCUGUAAUCCCAGCACUUUGGGAGACUGAGGCCAGAAGAUCACUUGGGCCUAGGCGUUAAAGACCAGCCAGGACAACAUGGCGAAACCCUGGCUGUACAAAAAAUGCAAAAAUUAGCUAGAUAUGGUCAUGUGUGUCUGUGAUCCUAGCUACACAAGGAGGCUGAGGUGGGAGGAUUGCUUGAGCCUGGGAAGCAAAGGUUGCAGUGACCUGAGAUGGCACCACUGCCUUCCAGCCUGGGUGACGGCGGAAACCCUGUCUAAAAAAAAAAAAAAAAUGAGACGAAGUACUGGAAUCUGGUUUUCUCACUAUGGAAGACCCAGCAUUGGACCAGUGAGAAUAAGGUUUCACCUUUUGUUUUUCUCUAUUCUUUAGUUAUAGGUAUGGACACAGUAAGAGUCCUCAUUUCAAAGAGAAGAGCCCAGUCAGGUGGGUUGAUAAUGAACACUG
rnacentral:sRNA from 1 species